GUCCCUGUAGCGCAAUGGAUAGCGCGUUGGAUUUCUUUUCCAAAGGUCGUGGGUUCGAUCGUGGGCUAUCUGGGAUG